AUGCAAAUCUCUGUCUUUUGUUGUUGUUGUUGUUGUAGAAUUACAACCAUGAAUGCUGUAAAUGCUGUGCAACUGUUCAUUCUGCUUUGGACCUUUACUGCUGUCUGUCAAGCUAAAAAUUUCAAUGUAAGCUGUGAUGAUGUGACUGGAUUCGUUGGGAAAAAAGUAAAUCUCACCUGCAGAGUCUCUCAGCAGUGUGAUAAAUACUGCUUGAAAAUGUAUAAGUUUAAAUACCCUAAUGACACAGCAAUCUGUAAACAAGAGCCUCCUGUGGACUCCUGUGAUGAGAGUAAGAGCUUCACAUGCAGCUACACUCCAACUACUCCAAUGACAGAAAAAUUCAGAUUCUUUGCCCAAGCAAACUGCGAUAUGGACACAAAAGAAUUCACUGUGAACAUAGCAGUUUUAUUAAAAGAAGAUGAUCCUAAAUAUAAGGAUACUGCCAUCACUGCAGCUGUGGGCUGUUUCAUCAUCAUUCUCAUCAUCAUCAUCAUCAUGACAGUCAUUUGGAAAAUCACCAAAUCUUGUGGAUUCCAGAAGAGGAAAUUUCUUUGCAUCAAAUAUGAUGAGAACAACACCACUCCUCGAGAAGAUGUGAUAUAACAGCAUUGUACGAGUUCUCAUGUGGUGCUCAUAAAACACACAAGCUCUAUUUAAACUCCACUAAACUACAUAAUCUACUAGAUUUUAUAUCUGAAACUACUGAAUAUAUAACUCUGGAUGUUGGUUUAAAACUCUGUUUCUGUUUUAUAUAGAUUUCUGUGAAAUAACAGCAUAUUAUUGAUCUGUUUGAUCAGUGUGUAUAUUUGUUUAUGUGACUUUGAUGACCUCGAGCCUCUGUGAACUUUAAGAGGAAACACAGCAGAACUCAAACUGUGUUUGGUUUUGCUCUUUUUUUCUGACUUUCAAGGAAUGUCUGUAAUUAAUGUCAGUUUUGCAUUUGGUAGAGUGAAUCUUAAUAUAGCUUACGUUUGGAAAUGAUUUCUUAAUAUUUUGCACAUGCAUUUUCCUAAUAGUGUGAAUGGUGUGGUUUUGUAUUUUAUUUUUUAAAGAACGUUGAAAUUAAUAAAGACUUGUGAUACUCUCUAAAGAUGAAUAUA
ensembl:lncRNA